rnacentral:rRNA from 1 species
GACAGAGGUGCCAAGCGUUAGGCGGAAUCACUGGGCUUAAAGCGUGUGUAGGCGGACUUGUAAGUACCUUGUGAAAUCCCACGGCGUCAACCGUGGAACUGCUCGGUAUACUGCUUGUCUUGAGCCACGUUAGGGGCUGUCGGAACAAACGGUGGAGCGGUGAAAUGCGUAGAUAUCGUUUGGAACGCCAAUGGUGAAAACGACAGCUGGGAGUGCUGCUGACGCUGAGACACGAAAGC